GCGGCGAUGGAGCCCGAGGGGGGAUGGAAACCCAGUGGGGGAGACGGAGCCCAGGCUCUGUGAGCAACCUGAACCAAGGUGAACUUACGCUUCCUUUGCAAGGAUGUGGCUUGCUGUGUCACUUCAGCCCCUCCACUCCCAGAGCGUGGCUGGAUCACAUCAACAGCGGUGCCCAAAUUUUGCAUUCCUGGAUUGCACGUUGACGAACUACGUAUGAAAAGCACCACCGCAUUUCAUACGAUUUUUAUCCAUGGAUUUUUCUUUUUUUUUUUCAAGUUGCUGGAACGCUCAGCUUGCUUCUUGUCUGCAACACAGUGGAAAGACAGCCAGCCCCUUCCUGCGUUCAUUUGCAUGCCCCUCUUUGCCUGGAAGAAAUACCUGUUCCCGAGGACACGGUGGCUUUGAAAUAGGAUACUGCCUGCAAUCUUUAUUGUAACAUCUGACUUCAAAAGAGACAGUGCUGGGUUGAAAGGCGAGGCAUGCUAAGGGGCUGAUCCUUAAAAAUAAUGAGAUAUGUUAAGAAGUUACUCAUGUUUAACAAAAGGUUAAAUGUAAUCAGCUCUGCCCUCCCAUCAUAUUUUUUCGAUCUUGCAGCCCUACAAAAGGGUCAUUUGGUGGAAUUAUGGCAGCAAAGGCAAAACUCUUUCUGUUUCUCCAGUCCCCUGAUUUACUGUUACUGAAGUCGGUGGCACGCUAUGGUUGAACCAUUUCAGUGUUCACAUUUGAAAUAUCUUAAAUUUUUACUAAUUAUGUAACAACUAAAUAAAAGGGUCUGAUUUUUUUAAUGUA